rnacentral:rRNA from 1 species
GUCUACGGCCAUGCUACCCUGAACAAGCCCGAUCCCGUCUGAGCUCAGAAGCUAAGCAGGGUCAGGCCUGGAUAGUACUUGGAUGAGAGACCACCUAGGAAGACCAGGUACUGUAGCCU